AAACAGCAAUGGAUGCCGACGAGAGAUUAAAAGCUUUAGAAAAGGCAUAUACGGAUGUAGUCUUGAACACAGAGAAAGAAGCAGCGACGAGGAUUAUGGUGUCGGAACAGAAAGCUCAAUGUUUUCAAGAGGAGCUCCAAGUGGUGAAAGAAAAGGGGCUAAUGACGCUGAUGAAGCUCAAAGAGAUGAUGGAUUCUAAGAUUAUUGAAGCAGAGUUAACAUCGUUGAGUCAACAGAGGAAGAUUGAAGAACUUGAAUCUCAACUAGAGGAAGCAG
rnacentral:misc_RNA from 1 species